rnacentral:tRNA from 1 species
GGGUCGGUAGCUCAGGUGGUUAGAGCGCACGCCUGAUAAGCGUGAGGUCGGAGGUUCAAAUCCUCCUCGACCCACCA